AUUGAACGCUGGCGGCAGGCCUAACACAUGCAAGUCGAACGAGUGGCGGACGGGUGAGUAAUGUCUGGGAAACUGCCCGAUGGAGGGGGAUAACUACUGGAAACGGUAGCUAAUACCGCAUACCAUCGGAUGUGCCCAGAUGGGAUUAGCUAGUAGGUGGGGUAACGGAUCACCUAGGCGACGAGCCCUAGCUGGUCUGAGAGGAUGACAAGCCACACGGGAACUAAGACACGGGCCAGACUCCUACGGGAGGAAGCAGUGGGGAAUAUUGCACAAUGGGCGCAAGCCUGAUGCAGCCAUGCCGCGUGGUGGAAGAAGGCCUUCGGGUUGGAAAGUACUUUCAGCGAGGAGGCGGGACUCGCAGAAGAAGCACCGGCUAACUCCGUGCCAGCAGCCGCGGUAAUGC
rnacentral:rRNA from 1 species